rnacentral:lncRNA from 1 species
UAUCUUAAAUGGUUUUUUUAUCCACAUUGUGCAUCCAGUUUUAAUCCAGUCACACGCUGGAAUUUUUUGCUGGAGAAAAAAAUUUAUCAAAUUUUUCUAAUUUCUGCUGCAGAAGCUUUGAUAAAAAUAACAAUGAUUGUGACGCUAGUGAAACAAUACACGAGACGACUUCAGUUUAUAAGUUUUUUGGCAAUGUUCCGAGUUGUAAUACUUGCAAGUUAUGGAACUUUGUUUAACUUGGCCCUUGUAGUGUGGAACAAUGAUGAUUUAAUCAUAACAAUUUGGUUAACACGAAUGUUUGUUUACUCUUCAUUGGUGCAGGCGUUAAAAGUAACAACACAGAUGCCAUUGUGUAUCGCUGCAAUAUUGGUGUUUAUCUCGACUGCGUCUCCUGCCGCCAUAAGUAGUUUUGCUUUUUGUUUUAUACAGUGAUAGUGAUGCUUAUAUAAUUCAAAUAUAUGUUACUUAAGACAAUGAAUAUAAAUAUAAUUUAUGAAAUUUUUCAAAU